rnacentral:rRNA from 1 species
GACGAACGCUGGUGGCGUGCCUAACACAUGCAAGUCGAGCGAUGAAAUUAGAAACGGAGUCUUCGGACGAAGAGGAAAAUGGAUUAGCGGCGGACGGGUGAGUAACACGUGAGCAACCUGCCUAUCCCAUCGGGAUAGCCUCGGGAAACUGGGAUUAAUACCGAAUGAAACAUAAUCACUGCCUAGUGGAAAUGUCAAAGAUUUAUCGGUGAUAGAUGGGCUCGCGUCUGAUUAGCUAGUUGGUGAGGUAAUGGCUCACCAAGGCGACGAUCAGUAGCCGGCCUGAGAGGGUGAACGGCCACAUUGGGACUGAGACACGGCCCAAACUCCUACGGGAGGCAGCAGUGGGGAAUAUUGCACAAUGGAGGGAACUCUGAUGCAGCGACGCCGCGUGAGCGAUGAAGGCUUUCGAGUCGUAAAGCUCUGUCGAAUGGGAAGAUAAUGACGGUACCAUUUGAGAAAGCCCCGGCUAACUACGUGCCAGCAGCCGCUGUAACAC